rfam:Acanthamoeba castellanii str. Neff unplaced genomic scaffold scf7180000084730, whole genome shotgun sequence.
GACAACGUGGCCGAGUGGUUAAGGCGGUAGACUCGAAAUCUACUGGGGUCUCCCCGCGCAGGUUCAAAUCCUGCCGUUGUCG